UAAUCUGUUUAAAUCAAAUUCUUAUUUAGUUAUGACAAACUCACAUCUGACGGCUUAGAAUCACCUGUUAUCACGAGCCUGACUAUAUUAUUGACAUUUAAAAACAGAAAACAAUUACUAUAUAAACAAUAA
rnacentral:pre_miRNA from 13 species